CCAGCUCUCUGUCCGCGCCGGCAGGACGAUUUCUCACGGGCGCCGCGACGCGGAGCACUCAGGCGGCCGUCUCUGUGGCAGCCAUCCGGACAUCCGGGCAAACAGGACACACAGGGAGGAUGAGCAGCUCCAGCUUCUCACUGUGCAUCUGAGCAGGCCAUGGCCAGGCCCCUGCAUGCCCCACUGCUCCUGCUGGCUAUCCUGGCCGUGCCCCUGGACAUAACCCUGGCCAUGACUCUUGGCCAAGAGCUCCAAACGUGUGGGCGGCAUCGAGGAAGCAGAUGUCAAUGAUGAGGACGUGCAGCGGGUGCUGGACUUUGCCAUCGGCCAAUACAACAAGGAGAGCAAUGAUGCGUACUACUGCUGAGUGCGGCAGGUGGUGCAUGCCUGCCAGCAGGUCGUGGCUGGGAUGAACUACUUCUUUGAUGUGAAGAUCGGCCAGACUAUGUGUACCAACUCCCAGCCCAACUUGGACAACUGUCCCUUCCAGGAGCAGCGGAACCUGUAGAGGGAAGAGCUCUGCUCUUCUGAGAUCUACAGUGUGCCCUGGGAAGUAUUCGAUGACCUUGGUGAAUCCAGCUGUCAGAAGGCCUAGGGGUCUGCGCCAGGCUGGGCUGCACCUGCCCCCUCCACCCACACCUCACACCUCCCUGUACUGCUCCCUACCCUGGGAUGGAGGCCCAGCUCUAGUGCAGGUCUCCUCCGCACAUCAGCACCGGGAGGGAGGCAAAUAGAGAAGGCUUUGGGAGGCCUUUGUUGAACAGCCGUGGCUCUAUCCGUUCCUUUCUCCCUACUGCCUCUCAAACUCACCUGUUCCUUUCUCCCUACUGCUUCUCAAACUCACUGAUACGUGGUGCACACGCUCUGCUCCUACCUCCUUUAAUAAAAGAGUAGCAUUGGCUCCUUCUUGAGUUUUUCCUAUCUCGGGGAUGUGCACA